rnacentral:ncRNA from 1 species
UUAUAAUGAAAACAGUUAUAUAAGCUCAUAAUAUGGUUGAGCGUUUCUACCAACUGCCGUAAAUAGUUGAUUAUAAUUCUUUGGAUU